AGAACGAACGCUGGCGGCAUGCCUAAUACAUGCAAGUCGAACGAACACUUCGGUGUUAGUGGCGCACGGGUGCGUAACGCGUGGGAAUCUGCCCUUGGGUUCGGAAUAACGGUUGGAAACGACUGCUAAUACCGGAUGAUAUCGAAAGAUCAAAGAUUUAUCGCCCAGGGAUGAGCCCGCGUAGGAUUAGCUAGUUGGUGAGGUAAAGGCUCACCAAGGCGACGAUCCUUAGCUGGUCUGAGAGGAUGAUCAGCCACACUGGGACUGAGACACGGCCCAGACUCCUACGGGAGCAGCAGUAGGGAAUAUUGGACAAUGGGCGCAAGCCUGAUCCAGCAAUGCCGCGUGAGUGAUGAAGGCCUUAGGGUUGUAAAGCUCUUUUACCCGAGAUGAUAAUGACAGUAUCGGAGAAUAAGCCCGGCUAACUCCGUGCCAGCAGCCGC
rnacentral:rRNA from 1 species